AGAAGCUCCAGGUGUGCUUGCAUGGUGGGUGAAUCAUAGAGGACAACCCAGUUCUCUCACUCUCUGGAGGAUAAAAUUAGAAGCAACGCAAGUGAAGAAUCAACUUCUCUGUCUCUGGCAAAGAGAACUCUAACAGAUUUCGAGAGACGUGGAGACCCUCCUGGAUCCUGCUCCGUGCCAGAUGGCAUCUCUCCACACGGAAGAGCGAGGGAGCUUGCUUCCAGGAGUCACGCUGAGUGAAGUGCCACGGAAAGGGCGCAGACAGUCUGUAGCUGGUUCCAGCUGGCUCACCACGUGUCAACAAGGAAGUCCUUUGACUGGCUGGGGAAUCAUUCCAAAAGGAAACAGAAGCUCCUAAAGAGGAAAUAACUUGCCCAAAGUCACACACCUAGCAAAGUGGGAUGCCAGGUCCAGAACAUUUGCCUCUUGACUCCCAGCCCACUCCACUUGUGCUCCACUGCUGUCCUGGCCAAGGCAGUGCCUUUUGGAGGCAGCUGCUUGGUACAGCGGAUACAGCACCAGGCCCAGAGUUGGGGAGAGUUCAAAUCCUGCUUCACACUUCCUGCCUCCACGACCCUAGGUGAGUCACCUUACCUAUACCUAUCUGUUUCCUCUACUGUGAAAUGGGGAUCAUAAUAGCAGCUACCUCCCCACAUUGUGGUGAGGAUCAAAUCAGAUGUGAAGUGCUUCGCUUCACACAGUGCCUGGCACACGGACGCUUGAUAAAUGCUGACUAUACCUGGCUCGGCUUUGAAGUCUCGCUCUCGGAUCCCAGGGUAUGGGCAAGUAAGGACAGUGCUAGACACUCAGAGCUGCCCAGAUAUUUGAAAGUUGUUUUUAUUUUUUGGUGGUGGGGGGGGGCAGCAGCACUCUUCUUCAUCGGGUGCCCAGUGCUUCGACUCCCAGGAAAAGAUCUCAAUGAUUGGAAAGAGGAAGGUUAGUUUAGCCCCUCAGUAAGGGGAGUGUAGGGCCCUGGAAGAUGAAGGCUUGGAGACUUUUUCUUAACUAAUACUAAUGAACCUCAGAAUGACUUCCCUGACACUCAUAUAGGCCUUUGAUGCAGUGUCAUAGACACAUGAAAUUGAUCUCCAGACUCACCUUUACAUACUCUGGUCUCACCCAAGCAGCUGGAUGGAGAAACAGAGAGAGCGCCAAGCUCUUCAUCCCCUUCCUUCUGCAAAGUGGGACCUUAAGUCAAGCUAGGGAAGUGCUAAUAUGUUUUACUGAUUUCCUAUUUCUAUCCUUUCCUUUCCAGGAGAAUAGCCCCACUUUUUCACGGAGCCAUGGGCUUGUCCUGGGCAUAAUGUCCUUCCCUCCCUUUCCUGACACAUUAAGAGAGGUACCUGUCCCUUGGGAUGCUAUUUCAACAUCCAUCUCUGUCAAUCACCCCUGGUUUGCCCUGAGAACAAUUGCUCAAGCCAGCAUCAGAACAGGGUGCUUCUGUUGUUAUGAGCAGGCUGACUGGCAGGCUCUCAUGGGUGUGAUGGUAAGGGGUAAAUUGGGCUCUUUUCUUUCAGCAGGGAUCCCACUGGCUAUGGUGAAGCUCCAAGAGCACUCUGCACCUGGGUAGGUCCAGGUGUCUUUUUUUCCCUUCUAAUUAUUCCCCAGUGCUUAGCAUAUCAAUCUGUAGAGACAAGCAUUACAAAUGAAAUGGGUCUACACCUAAGUUCUCUGGAUAAUUUUCUUUUGUAUUGCUAAUAUAUUUUUCUAAAAUCUUAUGGCAACAUGGAAGUGGCCUUGGGUUAUCAAAAGCUAUUCUGCCAGAGCAUGAACUGGAAAGGUUUUGAGUACAGGCCUGGCCAUGGUCUUCCUUCCAAGCUCAUCAUCACAAGAUUGACCGCAAUACAAGAGAUCAACUUUUUCAGUUCAUAAGUAGCGACUUUUUUCAGCCACAGCAAAUCCCAAAGACUGACAGAAUUACCAAUUCUCAAAGUAUUCAAGAAGGCCAAAAAUACCUCCUGGGUUUAUUUUCUUAUUGUUCAAACCCUGCUCAUUUGCCAAAACCCAGGGAGGGGCUGGAAGCCAGUGACUUGACACCCCUUGGCCUUUCUUCAUUCACACUGCUGGAGCCCUUAGGGCUCCUGUGGCCAGGGCUGACCUGAGCUCUAAUUGCACAGACACCAUUUAUUUUCAGCAUCUCCAUCCCCUCAGGGUGAUCUUCUCCCCACUUUGGCAACCUCCCCCAAGACUCUACCACACUCCUGAUAUUCUCAAACUCCAUCAGAUUUUGCCCUCCUUGUGUUCAUAUCUGCCCUUUGCCGGGGCUUACCUAGCCAACUAAUGGUGCUAUGUAUACACGUUUCAGCAGGGACUUCCUGGAGACAAUGCCUUAACCCAAAAGAAGAGGGGAAGGGGGGUUCCCUACCUCAGGUAAUUACAAUAACUGCUCUUAUUUCUCAAGCGUUUCACUCAUACUGUGCCUAUGGGGGCGGGCACAGGUAGCAGUUUGCCCAAAGUGUGCUUUCUGGCUAGUGAACGGAGCAAGGACUUCUGAGUCCAAGGCCAAUGCUUCCUCCCCUCCCCACUGCGCCAUAACGGGAAGCUGCAAGGAGCGGAGUGGAGGUGGUUCACUAUACGGCCAUCCAGUCAAUGCCAUCUUCUCCUUUCUAGUGCCGCACACUGUUUGCUCUUCUGCCGUUCUUGCCCUUCAAUGUUAUAUGAUGUUGAGGCACAGGGGCAGCCACCUCUACUGCCAAGUCCUCAGGGAGCCACACCACUGCCAUUCAAGCCUGGAGGCAGAAGCCCGUGGGGGAGUAAGGGUACAGCAAAGGCAGGUUUUAGAGAUUUAUUUAAUUAAAAAAAAAGGUCUCUAAAAAGUCCUUCAUUUCCCAUUUCUACCCUGCCUAGAGGGUGAGGAAUAGCUCAAGUGAAGGAGGUACCCACUUUGUUCAGGGAAAAGCUCCAUUCUCCCCCAACCCCUUCCCAGUCUGCAUGAGGCCAGGUGAGUCAGAGGUGGGGGGAGCUCUUUUCCCUUCCCACCCUACCUUCUUGAGAGGCCCAAAUGGAUGCUGGGAAGUUUUAGAGGCAAAGAGGUGCAGGAAGAGGAGGUGAGGAGAUGGCCUUUUUCAGACCAACCGUGACACAAGAGCUGUGCAAUCCCUUUCAACAGUCCCUGGGUCCCCAAGGCCUUGGCCACUGGGGGUGGUGUGAAUGGAAGAGGCCGUGCCCUUCAUGCUGGCGUUUGACAAGGGGCCUUUCCUUAAUGCUGCUCGUGGGAAAGCAGGGCAUUCGGAAGCAAUUUGUAGCAUGUCACGAUGGCCUCAUGAGUCCAGAAAGAAGAAUCCCCAAUCCUCUCCCUUACAGACCCUCCCGGCCUCUGUGCUGAGGCUGCAGCUCCCUCAUUCUCCACCUGAGGGUGAGUGGAGUCCAGGACAAAGCACUGAGAAGACACCUGGAUAAAGCCAGAAGGAAGGAACUCAGCCCAUCUGCCAGUCCGGGCUCUCACACACAGUCACACACACAGCGUUAAGGCGUAUGGGCCAGCAGGCGUGGCCAAAUCAGGUCCAGCUUCUCUCUCUCCACCUAUACAUAGCAGUGCCUGUAUGGGGGAAUUCUUGGCUAUUUCAGAACCAGGCUGAAGGGGGAGAAGCUGAUGAAGAAAGAGUUAACCAGCUUAGGGAAGGAUAGGGCAUGAAGCAGGCAAUGGCUGCCUUGGCCUAUGUCCAGGCCUGGUGGUCUUCCUUGACAGUUACCCACUUGGGUUGGGGAGCUCUGGCCACCUGUGCCUCUGAGGGGUGAGGAUGGGGGCUAGGGUGGACAGGGAAGAGA